UCACAGCUGGCGAGUCAAGUCAGGCCGUAACCGCGCAACAGCUGUAAUGGCGUUCCUGUGUGCGUGGAGCCUCCGAUAGCAUGUGAGCCUGUGUUACAUAUUCCUCCGGACGGCGUUAUUCUAGAACGUGUUUAGAUGUAGUGCGCGUAAUGGAAUUCUAGCUGAGUACGUCGUGUUACACUUCAGCGACUGAAGCAAAGAAAAACGCCAAGUGCUCUUGCGGGCUCGCGCUUCGAGCGCUGCAGCACACGAUGGAGCUCCGCAGGAUUAUCAGGACAGGUGAAGGCCCUCCAUACACGCGCCAUCGCUGCAUUUUUAACCUGGUCGGCGGAAACGAGUGCAGGAGAGCUUUAAGGACAGAGAGGGUCAAGAUCGCCGCACGACGACACCGCCUCAAGUUCUUCGUCAGGCAAGGAAGCUGAAAGUGGCGCACGCCUUCAGCCGCAUCUGCGAAGCACCAAGUGGUGCGACUGCUGACGCUGUCAAGUGCUUCCCAACUUAAGCGAGAUUGAGUGCCUGUGUGCAGCGAGAUGGGCCCUUUUCUGCUACCCAUACAGAAAGCUUUAGAGGACACAAGAACGAGUAUGUCAAGAACUUGGCACUGUGGCCUGGUGAGUCACAGCGCCCGUCCCCGCAGAGCUCCAAGCUGCUGUCACCAGCUGCUGCCAGAAGUCCUUUCUGGUGCUCAUCCCAGACCUACGAGAAAUUUGGACUCUGUCCUGAGUUUUGAUCUACUCCAGGUGCUACGUGUACAGUUAUGUGCACACGGUUUAUGUCUGAUAACAAUCAGAAUGAAAAAAAUAGUUGCAAUUACAAAAUAUUGUGCACUCUCUUAAUGGACAUUAAGGAGAAACACCACCCACAUGUAAGCUCUGCCUAGACACACAGAGCAACAUAAACACUGACGUACAGAACAUGCUAACACAGGACCUUGGCUAAAAACUGAAAGUAACUUGAGAAUUGUAUUUGUGUUUUGUAUUUUAUUCAGGAUGAUAUGCAAAAAUGAGGAACAGGUUGCAGCAUCAUUCUGAUUCCCACAUAACGCAACGGAUUUUGAAGACAUUCAGCCCUAAACCUCUUGUCGGUGGAUGCAAAAGGAACAGAUUAUGUUAAAAAAUGUUGAGUUUGUGUAGCAAAGCUUUGCAGACAUUAGCAGCAUAAAAUGAAUGCAAGUAAAUGAAACUACAUUGAAAUUAUCAUAAUCGCUACGGAAUCUUCGGUACUGCAUAUGAGCCAUAAUAUUCAGAAAUUCACCUUCCGCUUUCUCUACUUCUAAGCAACUUUUUUUUUCAAUGCAUAAGCCAAGAAUUUUACAAAAAUGCCAUCUAAAAAUACAGCACAAUGCAGCACCUUUCCUUACAGUUCCAUUAUGGGUUUCGUGAAAUUAGAUGCUACAAUUUCUGCAGCUGCAUGCAUUGUGUGCUAGCGAAAAUGUAAGAUGAACUUACAGGCUGCUUAGAAUAAUGCCAGUGUCUGUUCUUGGAACCAUUUCCUUCUCAUGCCAGGCAUAUUUUCUGUAUUUAUGUCCUUUGUUCGCUUUCUUAUGCACAAUAAAAAUGCCUGAAAAAUUUGAAA